UACGGAGGAUCCAAGCGUUAUCCGGAUUUAUUGGGUUUAAAGGGUGCGUAGGUGGCCUGUUAAGUCAGGGGUGAAAGACGGUAGCUUAACUAUCGCAGUGCCCUUGAUACUGAUGGGCUUAAAUGAACUAGAGGUAGGCGGAAUGUGACAAGUAGCGGUGAAAUGCAUAGAUAUGUCACAGAACACCAAUUGCGAAGGCAGCUUACUAUGGUUUUAUUGACACUGAGGCACGAAAGCGAGGGGAU
rnacentral:rRNA from 1 species